GACGAACGCUGGCGGCGUGCUUAACACAUGCAAGUCGAACGGAAAGGCCCUGCUUUUGUGGGUUUCUCGAGUGGCGAACGGGUGAGUAACACGUGAGUAACCUGCCCUUGACUUUGGGAUAACUUCAGGAAACUGGGGCUAAUACCGGAUAGUAGCUCCUGCUGCAUGGUGGGGGUUGGAAAGUUUCGGCGGUUGGGGAUGGACUCGCGGCUUAUCAGCUUGUUGGUGGGGUAGUGGCUUACCAAGGCUGUGACGGGUAGCCGGCCUGAGAGGGUGACCGGCCACAUGGGGACUGAGAUACGGACCAGACUCCUACGGGAGGCAGAAGUGGGGAAUAUUGCACAAUGGGCGGAAGCCUGAUGCAGCAACGCCGCGUGCGGGAUGACGGCCUUCGGGUUGUAAACCGCUUUCGCCUGUGACGAAGAGUGAGUGACGGUAAUGGGUAAAGAAGCACCGGCUAACUACGUG
rnacentral:rRNA from 1 species